rnacentral:rRNA from 1 species
AAAGUGUUUCUAGAUUGA